UCCGUAGGCGGUGUGGCAAGUCGGUAGUGAAAUCUCUCGGCUUAACUGAGAGGCUGCUGCCGAAACUGCCAUGCUCGAGUGCGAGAGAGGCGAGUGGAAUUGCGGGUGUAGCGGUGAAAUGCGUAGAUAUCCGCAGGAACAUCCGAGGCGAAAGCGGCUCGCUGGAUCGCAACUGACGCUGAGGGACGAAAGCUAGGGGAGCAAACAGGAUUAGAUACCCUGGUAGUCCUAGCCCUAAACCAUCAGGACUUGGGGUUUGCCCUGUACGGGGCAAGUCCCGGAGCUAACGCGUUAAGUCCUGCGCCUGGGAGUACGGUCGCAAGGCUGAA
rnacentral:rRNA from 1 species